rnacentral:rRNA from 1 species
AGCGAACGCUGGCGGCAGGCCUAACACAUGCAAGUCGAACGGGCGCAGCGAUGCGUCAGUGGCAGACGGGUGAGUAACACGUGGGAACGUACCCUUCGGUUCGGAAUAACUCAGGGAAACUUGAGCUAAUACCGGAUACGUCCGAGAGGAGAAAGAUUUAUCGCCGAAGGAUCGGCCCGCGUCUGAUUAGCUUGUUGGUGAGGUAACGGCUCACCAAGGCGACGAUCAGUAGCUGGUCUGAGAGGAUGAUCAGCCACAUUGGGACUGAGACACGGCCCAAACUCCUACGGGAGGCAGCAGUGGGGAAUAUUGGACAAUGGGCGAAAGCCUGAUCCAGCCAUGCCGCGUGAGUGAUGACGGCCUUAGGGUUGUAAAGCUCUUUCGACGGGGACGAUAAUGACGGUACCCGUAGAAGAAGCCCCGGCUAACUUCGUGCCAGCCGCCGCAGUAACAC